GAAAAGUGUGCAUUGGCCAAUUCAAUCCAUUGAAAGGGGGAAGCAUGAGGUAUCUUGGCACAUCUCCAUACGUUGAGCGUUCUGAGGCUGGUGUGGUACGGGACAUGGAGCUGGCCCUGCAGUUUGAUGGCCCAGUCAAUGGCAUAAAGGGACCAUCACCAGUGAUGAACCUGCCUCACUUCAACUUGGUGUGGGGAUUCACCGUAGAGUACAUGCAUGCUGUCCUUCUUGGUGUGGCACGACAGUUCACUGACCUUAUGUUUAACUCUGUCAACCAUGGCCAAGCAUUCUAUAUAGGGAGCCCAACAGAUGUUGUCAAGGUGAACAAGAGAUUACUGUCAAUUUGCCCGCCACACUGUUUCACCCGCCUUCCAAGACAAAUCAAA